GGGGAUUUAGCUCAGUGGUAGAGCGCUUGCCUAGCAAGCACAAGGUCCUGGGUUCGGUCCUCAGCCCCG
rnacentral:tRNA from 1 species